rnacentral:rRNA from 1 species
GUAGGCAGCGAGCGUUGUUCGGAGUUACUGGGCGUAAAGGGUGUGUAGGCGGUUCUUUAAGUUUGGUGUGAAAUCUCCCGGCUCAACCGGGAGGGUGCGCCGAAUACUGAGGGACUAGAGUACGGGAGAGGAAAGUGGAAUUCCUGGUGUAGCGGUGAAAUGCGUAGAUAUCAGGAGGAACACCGGUGGUGUAGACGGCUUUCUGGACCGUAACUGACGCUGAGACACGAAAGCGUGGGUAGCAAACAGGAUUAGAUACCCUGGUAGUCCACGCCCUAAACGAUGCAUAUUUGGUGUGGGCAGUUCAUUCUGUCCGUGCCGGAGCUAACGCGUUAAAUAUGCCGCCUGGGGAGUACAGUCGCAAGGCUG